GCAGGGAUCUGAUUUCUC
rnacentral:snRNA from 1 species